UACGUAGGUGGCAAGCGUUAUCCGGAUUUAUUGGGCGUAAAGGGAACGCAGGCGGUCCUUUAAGUCUGAUGUGAAAGCCUUCGGCUUAACCGGAGUAGUGCAUUGGAAACUGGGAGACUUGAGUGCAGAAGAGGAGAGUGGAACUCCAUGUGUAGCGGUGAAAUGCGUAGAUAUAUGGAAGAACACCAGUGGCGAAAGCGGCUCUCUGGUCUGUAACUGACGCUGAGGGUCGAAAGUGUGGGUAGCAAACAGG
rnacentral:rRNA from 1 species